rnacentral:RNase_P_RNA from 1 species
CCGCGGGAAAGUGCCACAGAGAACAGACCGCCAGCGUCCGCGCUGGUAAGGGUGAAACGGUGGAGUAAGAGCCCACCAGCGCCCGGGGUGACCCGGGCGGCUCGGCAAACCCCACCCGGAGCAAGGUCAAGAGGGAGCCCUUUCGGGGGCUCCUGCGCAGGCGGGCUGCCCGUCCGAUGCCUGCGGGUAGACCGCACGAGGCCACCGGCAACGGUGGUCCUAGAUGGAUGACCGUCCGUCCCGCUUCGGCGGUACGACAGAACCCGGCUUACAGGUUGGCUCGUCUC